rnacentral:rRNA from 1 species
UGAGCGACCUACCUAAUUGUGGGGGAUAGCCGGCCCAACGGCCGGGUAAUACCGCAUACGAUCGGAGAGGGGCAUCCCUUUCUGAGGAAAGCCUUCGGGCGCAAUUUGAGGGGCUCGCGGCCUAUCAGCUAGUUGGUGUGGGUAAUGGCCCACCAAGGCGACGAUGGGUAGCCGGCCUGAGAGGGUGACCGGCCACACUGGGACUGAGACACGGCCCAGACUCCUACGGGAGCUAG